UCAUGAAUAUAUAAGCAGUAGGAAACCUGAAGACAUCCAUAACGUAUCACACAACACAGUUCAUAAUUCUGCAAUGAAUUGUUGUUGUUGUUGCUUUACAUUUCCACCCUACCCUUCUGCAAUAAGCACUCAAGGCAGUUAACAAUAAAACAACAAUUACCAUACAGUGGUAGUUAAGUUAAGUACGUAAUUCAUUCCAGAGGUCCGUUCUUAACCUGAAGCACCACUUUAGCUAAUGGGGCCUCCCACUGCCGCCAUGCUGCCGGAGCACGAUUUCUGUUCUCAUCCUGAAGGAAAGCUCUUAACCCGAGGUACUAUUUUUGGGUUAGUGGAGUCUGUAACCUGAAGCGUAUGUAACCCGAGGUACCACUGUAUAAACAAAUUACUGUACAGGCGGCGACCAUUUUAGGCACGGCCAAUAGACGCAUGAUCGCCAAAGCGUGGGUCCUUUUGGACCCAGAAGAAGGUAGAAUGGUGAGUGGCAGAAUGGUCCCCCCCAAAUGAUACAGGGCUUGGAUGCUGGGGGCUACUCUUUAGCUCGCUUCCGGGUUUAAAUCCCGCUCCAUGUCAGUCUGCCAGAUUGGCCAAUGACAGGCUGGUAUGGAGGGCAGGACUCUUUACGGACGGGCCUGGGGGAACAAUCAGGCUUCCUUCAAGUCCGUUUCCAGGAGAUUUAAACAGCCUUCGGUGGCCCCUGACAUCCAGUUCUUCUACGGCGGUGAAGGUCCUGUGUGAGUGUCUGGAGGCGGUUGGAGGAUGGAUGGCGGCUAACAGAUUGAGGCUGAAUCCUGACAAGACAGAAGUACUGUUUUGGGGGGACAGGAGACGGGCGGGUGUGGAGGACCCCCUGGUCCUGAAUGGGGUAACUGUGCCCCUGAAGGACCAGAUGCGCAGCCUGGGAGUCAUUCUGGACUCACAGCUGUCCAUGGAGGCGCGGGUCAAUUCUGUGUCCAGGGCAGCUGUUUAUCAGCUCCAUCUGGUACGCAGGCUGAGACCCUACCUGCCUGCAGACUGUCUCACCAGAGUGGUGCAUGCUCUAGUUAUCUCUUGCUUGGACUACUGCAAUGAGCUCUAUGUGGGGCUACCUUUGAAGGUGACCUGGAAACUAUCCAGAAUGCGGCAGAUAGACUGGUGACUGGCCGCCGAUACCAUAUAACACCGGUCUUGAAAGACCUACACUGGCUCCCAGUACGUUUCCAAGCACAAUUCAAAGUGUUGGUGCUGACCUUUAAAGUCCUAAACGGCCUCGGUCCAGUAUACCUGAAGAAGCGUCUUCACCUCCAUCGUUCUGCCCGGACACUGAGGUCCAGCGCUGAGGGCCUUCUGGCGGUUCCCUCGCUGCGAGAAGUCAAGUUACAGGGAACCAGGCAGAGGGUCCUCUCGGUAGUGGCACCCGCCCUGUGGAACGCCCUCCCUCCAGAUGUCAAAGAGAAAAAUAACUACCAAACUUUUAGAAGACAUUUGAAGGCAGCCCUGUUUAGGGAAGCUUUUAAUGUUUAAUAGGUUAUUGUAUUUUGGUGUUUUGUUGGAAGCUGUCCAGAGUGUCUGGGGAAGCCCAGCGAGAUGGGCGGGGUAUAAAUAAUAAAUGAUGAUGAUGAUGAUGAUUAUACAUCAGAUCAAAUGCUUCUUGAGCAUGUGCAAAUUGCGUCUUUCUAGUAACAGAGAAUUUCAAAGCUAUAUUUGCAACAGAAAAACACCGUAAGAAGAUUAAAAAUGUUAGUACCUCCAAUUUCGUUCAAAAAAUUAUACACUGAGUACAUUGCACAAUUCUUAGACUACCCAUGUUUGACGUGUGCCAUACUUUCCAGCCUUUUAAUCCUCAUUUUGCACUCCCACUUCUUUCUACGCAAAAAGGGAAAAUGUAUCUUAUGAGACCCAAGAAUGAGGCUUUCAUUUUGUAUUAUCAGCACGUUCAUCUCCAGAUAGAAUUUCUUUUCCGUAGAGUCACACUGCAAUGAAAUUUCCAUUAAAGCUUACUCCUACUACUCCUACACACUCCAGGAACUUGAUGUUAAUUCCUUUUGCUUUCCUAAAUAUUUCUAAUGUAUGCACAUUACAAAAGUCUCCUGGCAGUCAUGAUUAUUUCCACCAGAAUUGUGUCCAGCCCUUUCUCUUUUAUCCAGCAGAAUCAAAUAAUAGCACAGGGUUUUUGGGUGUUUUUUUUAAGUAAGCAGAGUUUCAGAGACAAUCCAUUGUUUAGGAUUUAAAAUUGUCUUGAAGUAUAGGAGUUGUGUUGGAAUUUUUAAUCAGUCCAUUUAUUAUUAUCCAUUUAAUAACUGUUUGUUUAUUUUCUUUACAACCUUGCUCCUUUCUCAGGUGAAAACUAUUUAACUUUCUGCUGCAACUAUGGUAUACCAUAAUGUGCGAAUGCUGGCAUUGUAUUUAGCUGAAGUGUGUCAGUCAGGGCUGAGGAUGUAGAAGUCCCCAUUUUGUCAGAAGUUUAAUUAAUAGUUGACCACACCUGUGUUUUGUUUUUCUGAAAAAACAACCACCAAGCCUGCUUGUGAUGUGACUUAAUACCCUGUUCCAAAAGCACCCAAGCCUUGCAGGUUUGUCUGCUAAGAACAAUCAAUCUCCUCGCAGCCUUGGUAGGUAAGUACAAGGGGGUAAUACUUUACCUUGCAGAGAAAUGGGGAAGAGAGAUGUUAGCAGAAUGAUAUAAAGAGAAGCUGUAAUAGAAAGGGUGUGUGUGUGUGUGUGUGUGUGUGUGUGUAGAGUUUCUAGGGAACAAUUUAAAAUAACAAGGUUUGACUUCUUUGAAGUUUCUGAAAAGACUGGGAAUCAUCAGAAUGUAGCUUAUAGCUAUUACAGAAUUUGAUAGUUCAGUUUCCUGAAACUUCAUGAUUCUUUAUACUCAAGGAGACAGUUUUUGCAUGCACUUACCAUGAUUACACUUCGUGUCACACCCAAAUAGUUUGUAGUGGUCCACCAAGCCAAGUGUUUGUAUAGGGUGACCUGCCAGUGCCUCCACAAUCAGUCUCUUUUGCCGCUUGCACGGUCUGCAAAAGCUGGAAAUUGCACCUAGAAGGCCACAGUGCCUAGCUGUAGCAUGCAUUGGGUUUGGUGGGGCACACACUGUUGAAGCCUGCUUUGCUGCUUUCUCAAGAGUAGCAGCCAGAUAUCUGAUAGCAUUCCAUUGUAGUUGUACAUUACAGCACUCAUAAUUCCUCUCUGCAUUUAAUUACGGCCCUAGCAUUUUACCUGUAAGCACUGGAAGCUGGAAUGAAACCAAUUAAUAUAAUAAAUCAAAGUUAAGGUUUCUAGCAGACCAGAAACAAACCUGGCCUUGCCUGUCCCUGCGACUUUUAGAGUAAUUUGGUGGCAAACAUCGGGUGACACUGUUUAUCUCCAUAUGGCGAAAAGCUUAACGUGUGGCUUUCUGCACAUGAAACUGUAUGGAAACUGGAUAGGUCAGCGAAAGGCACAGUUACAGAGCCUUGCUGAAAAGUUGGCAAGCCCAAGGCAAAGCAUCUCAUUCGAUGGUCAUAUGGCUGCAGAGAGGCAGAGCAGGAAGCGGGUAUGCUGAAGAGAGAGCAUGUUCGCUGCUAAAGUCAAUUAGCUGCAGCUGUGCUGCAUACAACGUUCUCCAUCAAGCGUCUGUGAUUGUCAGCUUUCCCUAUGAUCAUGCUUGGCUGAAUUAAUAUAAUGCAAUUAGUUUGGGUCAUUCAAUAGAUUAACUCCUUUGCCAGAUGUGGAAUACAGCUGUUCUGCCAGGAGGCUGUCUGGGUGCGUACCCUCUCUGCCUGCAGAUCUCUGUGUACUGGCCAAGUUGUUGGUGAUGGGAACCCUUUCUCUCCAACCCACCAUUUCCUGCCAUUAUUAUUAUUAUUAUUAUUAAAAUUUCAAUUUCAAUACCGCCUUUCAUUUGAAGAUCAUAGGGUGGUUUACAGUAUAAAACACAAAAAUACAUACCAUAAUAACCAACCAACAAAACACACAGUUUUAAAGGCCAUAGAUUGUUUAAUUAGCUAAAGGCAUGAGAGAGCAGGAAUGUUUUUGCCUGGUACCUAAGGAUUUGUAAAAAGAAAAAGAAAAAAGGUGCCAGAUGAUACUUUGCUAGGCUAUCUGACCAAUUUAUUUAACUGGGAUUUACCAGAAUUGUCACAUAUUACCUAGCGAAAGUCCAGGGUCUACAACAGAUUUAUGAGUAACAGAAAUUCUUCAGGUGAUUUCCACCCUAUCCCCUCAUUAUUGUGACUGUGCUGGAAAAUGCUUUACCUGUUGAAUUUCUGUGUGAUGCCGCUGUGGAAGGAUCAGGAGCCCUGCUAUGAAAACAAAGCAGAACAAGUAGUCCUAUUCAGUCUCCCUAAUUGAACCCUGUCCCAAAUUAAACAAACGUGAAACUCUGAUUGAAACUAUUGACCACUGAGGAUAAUUUUAUCCCAUUGAUGUUUUGUGAACCUGUCUUUCUACCAAGAAGUACAGCAGGGAAGAUGGCAAUGACUUGACAAUUAAUCCCUGCCUCAUGUUCCUUAGUCACUGCUAAAUUGCUGCUAGCACAAGUAUCUCUAAGUGAUCUUGUAUUUUUGCGUUGUCUGGAAAGUUUACACUCACUAUAGAACUGUGCGGUUAUUUCUGCUGGCAGAUGUUUGCUUGAAAUGCUAUGCUCUCACUAAAGCCAAUCUGCUUUCCAUCAAAAUGCACUUGAGUCCUGUCCUUAGCCGAUUCAUACUCUGAUUAUUCCCACAUAUAAAUGUUUUGUGUUCAUGAAGUGGUUAGAGCCCUCUGCUGGUACCUAGGUAGACUGGGAUUAUUCACAGUGGCUAGUUUCUCAUGCAUGCAUUUGCUUGCUUGUACUGUGUAUUGCAUCAUUCUUCGUCAUAACAAAGGACAUGCUUGUCUUCC